rnacentral:tRNA from 1 species
AUACUCUAAUAGUUUAUCCAAAACAUU